rnacentral:rRNA from 1 species
AGCGUAGGCGGUCAAGCAAGUCAGGGGUGAAAGGCAUCGGCUCAACCGAUGUAAGCCUUUGAAACUGUUUGACUUGAGUGCAGGAGAGGAAAGUGGAAUUCCUAGUGUAGCGGUGAAAUGCGUAGACAUUAGGAGGAACACCAGUGGCGAAGGCGACUUUCUGGACUGUAACUGACGCUGAGGCUCGAAAGCGUGGGGAGCGAACA